rnacentral:rRNA from 1 species
UAUUAUUCUUCAAUUAAAAAUAUUAGAUCAAGGUAGUAAUAGAUAAAGGCUUGAAACCUAAAGAAUUUGGCGGUGUUUUAGUCCUUUCAGAGGAAUCUGUUCUGUAAUUGAAAGUACACGAAGUAUAAUACUUGAAUUAAAAUGUUUGUAUACCGCCGUCGUAAGAAUAAUUUGAGGAGAAAUUUUUUCGGGAAUUGAUAUUAAAAAAUAUGUCAGGUCAAGGUGCAGCUUAUGUUUAAGAAGAGAUGGAUUACAAUAAGUGGAUAAAAUAAUUAUACGGUUAUACAUAAUAGAAUUGUAUAUAAAGGUGGAUUUGAUAGUAAAUUUAAUAUUUUAUUAAAUUGAUUUUGGCUCUAAAACAUGCACACAUCGCCCGUCGCUCUCAUUAUAAUAUGAG